AACGGACGAGCGUUGGAGCGAGCAAAAAGGAGUGGUGAGAGAAGGGCAUCAGAAGCUGAGGUCCUCCUCUCCCCUUCCCUUCUUGCUCUCUGGAUCACGCCUUUUGCUCACUCUUUUCUCUCCUGCUGUUGUUUGCUUUGAUUUAGUGGGUUUUUUUCGAUGCAUUGGUCUAACUAGUUUGGGGAAAAUCUUUCCUUUCAUCUUCUUGGAUUUUUCCUGGUGUGAUUUGGGUGCAUUUUGCCCCAAAUCAGUCGCUGGUGUCUUCCCGAUGUGAUCAGAGUACAAAAAGAUGGGUUUUGGUUUGAUUUACCGGCUUCGAUAUCCGAUCUUUCCUGGAUUUAUUCGCCAAAACAGCGAUUUUACUUUUCUAUCUAGGUCGGGAGUAGAUCUGGGUUCGGGUGCAUUUCUGGUGGAGUCGGUGGCGAGAGCUAGAUGAAAGGUGGGAUCUUUAGCUCGGUUCUUAUGGCAUUUCUGGUGGUGUUCAGUGGAACUUAGCUACAGAUCUGGGUGGGUGUUGUGCUCUUUUUGCUGCUGACACUAAGCUCGGGAAGAAGAAGGUCUUAUUUUGCCAUGACUUACUUCCCGGAGGAAGUGGUGGAGCACAUCUUUGACUUCCUCGUCUCGCACCGGGACCGUAACGCCGUGUCGACGGUGUGCAAGGCAUGGUAUCAGGUAGAGCGGCUCAGCCGCCGGAGCGUAUUUGUCGGCAACUGCUAUGCGGUGCUGCCGGAACGAGUAAUGACCAGGUUCCCUGGAAUGAAGUGCCUCGUCGUCAAGGGGAAGCCCCAUUUUGCCGAUUUUAACUUGGUCCCCCACGAUUGGGGCGGCUUUGCGCUGCCUUGGAUUGAGGCCGCUGCCCACGGUUGCCCUGGUCUCGAGGAGCUUCGGCUGAAGAGGAUGGUGGUGUCUGAUGAGAGUCUUGAGCUCCUCGCACGCUCCUUCCCCGACUUCAAGGCCCUUGUUCUUAUCAGCUGCGAGGGCUUCAGCACUGAUGGACUUGCUGCCAUUGCCACUCAUUGCAGGAGUCUUCGGGAGCUAGAUUUACAGGAAAAUGAGGUGGAGGAUUAUGGCCGGCAGUGGCUUAGUUGCUUCCCUGAUUCCUGUACUUCCCUAGUGUCCCUGAAUUUUUCUUGCCUCAAAGGAGAGGUGAAUGCUGGUGCUCUCGAGAGACUCGUUGCUAGGUGCCCGAGCCUCAGGGGCUUGAAGCUUAACCGUGCUGUAUCUGUAGAAUCGCUGACCAGGAUACUUGACCGAGCUCCGCAUCUGGUGGAACUUGGAACUGGUUCGUUAACAGUCGACCGCCACACUGAAGCUUACCGGAGGAUGAUAAAUGCCUUCCAUAAAUGCAAGUCGCUGAGGAAUCUGUCGGGUUUCUGGGAUGUUGAUCCACUCUGCCUGCAGUCUGUAUAUCCAAUCUGCCCAAACCUUACUGUAUUAAACUUGAGCUAUGCCCCCUCAAUCCAGGGUGCCGAUCAAGUAAAGUUGAUUCGUCACUGUUUUAAACUUCAGAAGCUUUGGGUACUAGAUUGCAUCGGAGACAAAGGGCUAGCCGUCGUGGCAUCCACUUGUAAACAGUUACAGGAGUUGAGGGUAUUUCCUUCUGAUAUCUAUGGAACUGGCACUGCUGCCGUGACCGAAGAAGGCCUGGUCGCUAUAUCUUCAGGUUGCUCAAAGAUGAACUCUCUGCUGUAUUUCUGCCGCCAGAUGACAAAUGCUGCACUUAUCACCGUCGCAAAGAACUGUCCCCGUUUCAUACGGUUCAGGCUGUGCAUCCUUGAUCCAGGGAAGCCUGAUCCCAUCACUAAUCAGCCACUGGAUGAAGGUUUUGGGGCUAUUGUGCAGUCAUGUAAAGAUCUUAGGAGACUAUCAUUAUCAGGUCUUCUAACCGACAAGGUUUUCUUGUAUAUCGGCGAGUAUGCUGCACGUCUUGAGAUGCUUUCGAUUGCAUUCGCCGGUGAUAGCGAUAAGGGAAUGAUUUACGUACUCAACGGGUGCAAGAAUCUCCGGAAGCUAGAAAUAAGGGACAGUCCGUUUGGCGAUGCCGCACUUUUGGAGAAUGUCGGGAAGUAUGAAACAAUGCGAUCCCUUUGGAUGUCAUCCUGUGAUGUUACGUUGGGGGGUUGUAAGGCACUUGCAGCAAAGAUGCCGAGAUUAAACGUGGAGGUCAUAAAUGAAUGGGAUGAAAGCGUUGAGAUGGAGGAAAAUCCUAGCGACACACACAAGGUGGAGAAAAUGUACGUGUAUCGAACUCUGACUGGACCAAGGAACGAAGCACCGGAUUUCGUCUGGACAUUAUAGAGUCUGCUAGCAUGGCUGUAUGGUCGGUAGAUGCGUAAAAGGUAGUUUAAUUGAGAUUGUAAUUUUUUUUUUCAUUUCAUUUAGUGGUACCAUGAUCCUUCCUAGUUAUGUUUGUAGGUUGAAGUUAGGGUGACAGAACACAAAGUCCCAGUUUGUAGAUUUUGGUUCUGCUACAAGAGGCUUCUUGUUUGUAAUGUUCUGAACCAAGAUGGCCAAACAUGUAGAAAAAGCUCUCUCAGUGCAGGCUCUAAACAGUUUUUACCACCAGAUUUUAUCCGUCGGUGGAUUACAAUAACGGCGACAGUUCGUAUCAUUUUGUUGGCAUCAUACAGUCAAUGUACAAACACUCACCAUGCCAUUGCAGAUGACCCCUGUGACUGUGAUGCAGUCGUCCAAGCACUCGGUAGCAUCGUCGGAAGGGGGUUGGAGAUGCAAGCGGUGCUGCCAGCCAGGAUAAGCUCGUCUUUUGCGUAUCACGUAGCGACUACGUCUGUGUCCUCUGCGGGAGCGAUGUGUCCAAACUCAUCAUCAUUUCUUCCCUCGCACCUUUUUCUUUUUGUUUUCAUUUCUGCGUUGCUUGGUCACGAUUGCUCCGCCGUUUCUUUUCUGCUCGGUGACUAUUUCUCAGAGCCGACCGGCUUUUCUCUCUCCGGUCGACGUCGGCUAUGCCGGCUGCUCGGUUCUUCUUUUCGUCUGGCAUGAAUGUUAGCAAGUUGAAAUUUUGGUUGGGACUUCGAGCUGUAAUAGAUAACCAAUAUUCUUCUUUUCCUAAGUACACAUUAAGUUUCCUGA